rnacentral:rRNA from 1 species
CGGCGGACGGGUGAGUAACGCGUAGGCAACCUGCCUUAUGCAGAGGGAUAGCCAUUGGAAACGAUGAUUAAAACCUCAUAACGCCGGAGAGUCACAUGGUUUUCCGGCCAAAGAUUUAUCGGCAUAAGAUGGGCCUGCGUCUGAUUAGUUAGUUGGUGGGGUAACGGCCUACCAAGGCGACGAUCAGUAGCCGACCUGAGAGGGUGAUCGGCCACAUUGGAACUGAGACACGGUCCAA